AACGCGAAGAACCUUACCUGGGCUCGAAAUGCAGGAGACCGGGGUAGAAAUAUCCUUUCCCCGCAAGGGGCUGCUGUAUAGGUGCUGCAUGGCUGUCGUCAGCUCGUGUCGUGAGAUGUUGGGUUAAGUCCCGCAACGAGCGCAACCCUCAUCCCUAGUUGCUACCAUUUAGUUGAGCACUCUGGCGAAACCGCCUCGGAUAACGGGGAGGAAGGUGGGGAUGACGUCAAGUCCUCAUGGCCUUUAUGUCCAGGGCUACACACGUGCUACAAUGGCCGGUACAAACCGCUGCAACCCCGCGAGGGUGAGCUAAUCGGAAAAAGCCGGCCUCAGUUCGGAUUGGAGUCUGCAACUCGACUCCAUGAAGCUGGAAUCGCUAGUAAUCGUGGAUCAGCAUGCCACGGUGAAUACGUUCCCGGGCUUGACUACACCGUAGAGAC
rnacentral:rRNA from 1 species